GGAUUAUUUGAAAGUCCCCAAAAUAGACUUCUGGUUAAACAUUGCACUUUAAAAACCUGUGUUUUUCUUUGAUCUCUUUCAAAAUGCUACUAAAAUGACAGCAAAGAAGCCAAAAAGGCCCAAGUCCACAAGACAGAAAGAAUAGGUGAAAAGUCCAUGUCAUCUCAUUUUUGGAGAUGGACAUGGACAGGGGCUGGAACUGCAGUAUCAGCAGAUGGGGAGCUUCAGAAGGAAGUUAGUUCAUGGUAAAGCACAGCAGAAAGUCCCCAGAAUUGGAGGCACCAGAUUCUUCUGAAAGAAAAGGAGCAGUUCAGCACUUGACAGGGAGACAAGAGGUCGACACCCCAGGACAGAGUGAAAACCUAAGUGGUGAGAAUCGGCUCCUUCUGCACUUGUAAGUGCAAAUUUGGUUCUGCCACUGUCUGAUUGCCUGGUGCUCACGCCUCACUUCCCUGUCAAGCCGGGUCUUCAUAAAACCAGAGAGGACUUCACUUCUCCCUAGCAAUUACCAAUUCUGUGAAACUGAUUACUCCAAACUGUAUGUAUAGACUUAUCAACGAAGAAAGACUUUGCCAGAUCAUCUUUUAAAAUUAAACCUCAACUUUGAUGUACUCGCUGUGCUCCAAACGCACCUGUCUUUUUCCUUGUUCCUCAACGAUGUCAUGUUUCUGUUACAGGGUCUUAGCAUAUGCUAUUCCUUCUGCCUGGAGUGCGCAGCCCCAGACCAUCACAUGACUGGCCACACUGCUCAGAUUUUAGCCUAGAUGUCACCUCUUUAUAGAAGCCUUCUCUGACCACCCUAUUUAAUGUUGAUCACUCCACCUGCAGCUGAGAUGCCAACUAAUAAAUUCCCUCCUACUCCUCCAUUCUUUCUUUAAUUUUUAUGCCUCAUGUGAAAAGUAUCAAGUCAAUCACAUACUUCAGUUCAUGGUAUGCUAUUAUUACAUUUCUUUCAUGGAUAUUUUCCCCAUUAAUCCCUGGUUUCCAUUUCCAUUACCUCUCCUUUCAUAUAUUCAUUCACUAUAAGGCAUUACAUGUAUAUCCUUGUCUAAAAAUGUAAUAUUGUCAAAUGUAAGUUAUUAUUUGGCAUAUUAUAUGUUUCACAAAUAGUAUUGUGCAAUUGACCUUGUUGUAGGUAUUAUGUUUUGUAUUCACCAGUGUGUUCUAAAGACCCAUCUGUAUCUGUUAUAUAUGUAUGCACACUUGGUUCAUUGCUUCUAACUGAUCCUUGGUAUCCUGCAGUGUGCAUUCAUCCCUGCUCUCGAUACAGUCAGCUCCCAAAUUCCGUAAACAACUCCUCUGUAAGUAACCUCCUUCUGACAGGGGGUAGAAUUGCUCAGAGGCCAGAUGCUGCCAUUGUUAUCUGUUCCUCACCCUGGCCAGGCUGUGGCACUGCCCUGAUAUUAUCCUAUCACCUCCGCGUAGCAGAUAUUUUGUCUCAAGGUGGUGCCAGGCCAGGCGAUUAUCUGCCAAGAACAGCGGUUGGAGAGAGGAAACAGCCUGCAACUCUGCCUGCACCAUGUCCUAACAGUGACUUUCUCUGCUCAGCCUAUGGGUUACCCACAGCAGGUCACAGCCACCCUUUCUCUCUGCCCAGGGGUUUCUUAUGGUUUUUACCUAGAUUUACAUCGACUUGCAGAUCGGUACACCCCUCUCUUGCUUCUGGGGCAACAUCAGGGUUGGAAUGUGUGGAGGUCCUUAUAGUCUUCAUAAUGCUAAUCACUACCUGGAAUUAUCAUCUUUCUUUAUUGGUUUACUUGCUUAUUGUCUGUCUCCCUCACUGUAAGACUGUAAAUGCCACAUGAGCAAGGACCUUAUCUGAACACCUUUCUGGGUUUGGGGAUAUCUCACCACAUGCAUACCAUUGAGGGGCAGAGAUGCCUUCCAAUGUAGAAACAGCCAGGACCAUAUAGUCACAGCCCCAGGCAGCUUCACAGCUAAAGCGCAGGCAUUUCUUCUCUAUGUGACCAUCAGACCAACCUGUGAAUCCCAAGCUGGAGAAAUGAAGUCACCAAGACAGUGGAGAAUUCACUGGUGGGCGCAGCUGUAGUGGCAGCAGUAGCGCUUAUGGCAACAGUUUCAGGAGUAGCAGUUGGUAUCCUGCCUCCAAAGACAGAAUAUGGGACCGUCUCGUUGCAGGAGAACAAGCUCAGGGCUCCCACUGAUUCUACAUUAUGGGUGCAGUGGCUCACACCUGUAAUCCCAGCAUUUUGAAGGUGG